AUCCCAUGAUGAGGAUAUUUUUUUAUGAGAUCUUUGAAUCUCUCCCAAGCCUCGUAGAGAGAUUCAUUGUCCAGUUUACAAAAAUUAUUAAUCUCUCCUCGCAACUU